ACUUUUUUCGUCUAAUGGUUAGGACAAUAUCUUUUCACGGUAUAAAUGCAAGUUCAAGCCUUGUAAAAAGUA
rnacentral:tRNA from 1 species